rnacentral:ncRNA from 2 species
GGACCAUCCCGAGCGGCCGAGAGAUCUGGAUCUGUGACGCCGCAGCAACCCUGGCGCCGCAGACGGAGCCAAAGGUGCUACUGCCAGAAGCGAUGGUGA